rnacentral:rRNA from 1 species
UGGGGAAUAUUGGACAAUGGGGGAAACCCUGAUCCAGCGACGCCGCGUGUGUGAAGAAGGCCUGCGGGUUGUAAAGCACUUUCGGUGGGAACGAAAUGUGCCGGGCUAAUAUCCCGGCAAGCUGACGUUACUCAAUGAAGAAGCACCGGCUAACUCUGUGCCAGCAGCCGCGGUAAUACAGAGGGUGCGAGCGUUAAUCGGAAUUACUGGGCGUAAAGAGCUCGUAGGCCGCUCUGUAAGUCGGAAGUGGAAGACCACGGCUCAACCGUGGAAACGCUUUCGAAACUGUGGAGCUUGAGGCCGGGAGAGGAGAUCGGAAUUCCUGGUGUAGCGGUGAAAUGCGUAGAUAUCAGGAGGAACACCCGUGGCGAAGGCGGAUCUCUGGACCGGUUCUGACGCUGAGGAGCGAAAGCUAGGGGAGCAAACAGGAUUAGAUACCCACGUAGUCCCUGAGCGGGCUGGCAAGGCGCAU